CUCGGGCGUGGGCAGUGGCGGAGUUCCAAGCCCGGGCUGAGGAGGGGGCGGCGGCCGCGGGCGGGUAGCCUUCGACUGGGCGUUGCCGCUGUUCCCUACGCGGCAUGGAGGGGACGGCCGUGGCCGUGUUCGAGUUGCUUCUGCAGGAACCCUUUUUGGUGGCAUGGUCCUCAAGAAGUUCCUAAAAGUUCCAGCUCUCAAACUCCAGACAUCUUAGGAAGGGUUUUAUGCUUCUGGAUUUUCCUUUCCUCCUUAAUUUCAUCACUCAGGAAAUCAAUAAAAGCUUUGUCUCCUUCGCACGCCACACCCACAGCCGCAGGUGCAGGGCCCGCGAGGCCGCAGGGGGCCCGGCCGCCGAACCCGCGCGCAAACAGCAGCCCGAACGGCCAGGCGCACAGCUGGGCGCCGGCUGCAGGAGCUGCCGGAAAGGCGGGGCGGGCCCCGGCGGUGUGGAGGCCGGCGACGCAGAAGCCCAGCAUAUGGUGCACUCAGCGCAGCAGUGGCAGCAUGGCGGAGAGGACUGCGAACAUGUGCGGAUGCAAAGGACAACCCAGACCUAGAAAUACAGUCCAUACUGCCCGGAAUCUCUGCAAAGCUGACUUGGACUUCAGAGGAAGGCAGCUAUUCUCAGGACAUGACAGGGGUAACACCCUUCCAGAUGAUUUUUGAGGUUGAUGAAAAGCCCAGAACCUUGAUGACAGAUUGUCUGGUUAUAAAGCAUUUUUUACGUAAAAUCAUCAUGGUGCACCCUAAGGUUAGAUUUCAUUUCAGUGUAAAGGUAAAUGGAAUCCUCUCCACAG
rnacentral:sRNA from 1 species